rnacentral:rRNA from 1 species
AGCGAACGCUGGCGGCAGGCUUAACACAUGCAAGUCGAGCGGGCAUAGCAAUAUGUCAGCGGCAGACGGGUGAGUAACGCGUGGGAACGUACCUUUUGGUUCGGAACAACACAGGGAAACUUGUGCUAAUACCGGAUAAGCCCUUACGGGGAAAGAUUUAUCGCCGAAAGAUCGGCCCGCGUCUGAUUAGCUAGUUGGUGAGGUAAUGGCUCACCAAGGCGACGAUCAGUAGCUGGUCUGAGAGGAUGAUCAGCCACAUUGGGACUGAGACACGGCCCAAACUCCUACGGGAGGCAGCAGUGGGGAAUAUUGGACAAUGGGCGCAAGCCUGAUCCAGCCAUGCCGCGUGAGUGAUGAAGGCCCUAGGGUUGUAAAGCUCUUUUGUGCGGGAAGAUAAUGACGGUACCGCAAGAAUAAGCCCCGACUAACUUCGUGCCAGCAGCCGCCGCGG